CAGUGUGUAGUUUAAAUUAAAAUAUUAAUUUUGGAGAUUAAAGUUAAGCUAGCUUCUCACUGA
rnacentral:tRNA from 1 species